GGACGUAGCUCAGCUGGAAGAGUGCUUGCUUCACCUUCACAAGGCCCUGGGUUCAAUCCCCAGCACCA
rnacentral:tRNA from 1 species